GAUGAACGCUGGCGGCGUGCCUAAUACAUGCAAGUCGAGCGAACAGACGAGGAGCUUGCUCCUCUGACGUUAGCGGCGGAAGGGUGAGUAACACGUGGAUAACCUACCUAUAAGACCGGGAUAACUUCGGGAAACCGGAGCUAAUACCGGAUAAUAUAUUGAACCGCAUGGUUCAAUAGUGAAAGACGGUUUUGCUGUCACUUAUAGAUGGAUCCGCGCCGCAUUAGCUAGUUGGUAAGGUAACGGCUUACCAAGGCAACGAUGCGUAGCCGACCUGAGAGGGUGAUCGGCCACACUGGAACUGAGACACGGUCCAGACUCCUACGGGAGGCAGCAGUAGGGAAUCUUCCGCAAUGGGCGAAAGCCUGACGGAGCAACGCCGCGUGAGUGAUGAAGGUCUUCGGAUCGUAAAACUCUGUUAUUAGGGAAGAACAAAUGUGUAAGUAACUAUGCACGUCUUGACGGUACCUAAUCAGAAAGCCACGGCUAACUACGUG
rnacentral:rRNA from 1 species